CAGACGGGGGCUGGGUGAUUUGAGAGGAUGCCAAUACAAAGGUCACUAUAUGGUCCUACAUAUGCAUUUGGUUCUCAUAUGUAAAGACAAGCCUGAAUACCACGUUGAAAAACAUAACCAGUAUACUCUGUAUGGUCUGACGAAAGGAUCUGGUUGGAUGAGGUACAUUUCAGAUGUUUC